UAACAGAGCCGUAUCUCCCUGCAGUUCUCGCCUGGUUUCCUACUGAAGCUAAGCAGGGUUGAGCCUGGACAGUACCUGGAUGGGAGACCUCCUGGGGAAAACUGCGGUUGCUUUUGGAA
ensembl:rRNA 5S_rRNA 5S ribosomal RNA